CAAGUGCCAGUACCACCUCCCGAAAAUUGAAGACAAAUGAAGAUUCCUCCCAGACAAAAGGUGCCACACAAGAAAGCUCUUGCUGCCCACAGAGUGCCCAGGCUUCUCCACCAACUGCACCUGAAAGCCAAAACUCACAGGAUUUCUUUCCUGGGGAUAAGGGCUGUUUUUCCCUUUUUUUAACCCUGCGCUUCAAGUGCCUGUCUCAGCUCCCCAAAAUGGAAGAGAAAGGAAGAUUCCUCCAGACAGAAGGUGCCACACAAGAAAGCUCUUGCUGCCCACAGAGUGCUCCGGCUGCCCCACCAACUGCAUUGGAAAUACAAAUGUAGGAGACUUUCUUUCCUGAGGAUAAGGGCUGCUCCUAGGUUUUUUCAGCCCUGUGAUGCUACUGCCAUUCUGACUCCCCAGAUUCCAGAUGGACCAAGAUUCCUCCCAGAUAAAAGGUGCCACACAAGAAAGCUCUUGCUGCCCACAGAGUGCCCAGGCUGACCUACCAACUUCCUCAGAAACGCAAAUGUCGGAGGCUUUUUUACCUGGAGAUAAGGGCUGUUUUUUCCUUUUUUCAGCCCUUUGCUUCUACUGCCAUUCCGACUGCCAAAAUUCCAGAUGCACCAAGAUUCCUCCCAGACAAAAGGUGCCACAGAAGAAAGCUCUUGCUGCCCACAGAGUGCCCAGGCUGGUCUUUCAAGUGCAUCAGAAAGGCAAAUCUAGGAGGCUUUCUUUCCUGGGGAUAAGGGCUGUUUCUCCCUUUUUUCAACCCUGUGAUGCUACUGCCAUUCCGACUGCCAAAAUUCCAGAUGCACCAAGAUUCCUCCCAGACAAAAGGUGCCACAGAAGAAAGCUCUUGCUGCCCACAGAGUGCCCAGGCUUCUCCACCAACUGCACCUGAAAGCCAAAACUCACAGGAUUUCUUUCCUGGGGAUAAGGGGCUGUUUUUCCCUUUUAAUAACCCUGCGCUUCAAGUGCCGGUCCCACCUCCCCAAAAUGGAAGUGAAAUGAAGAUUGCUCCCAGACAAAGGUGCCACACAAAAAAGCUCUUGCUGCCCACAGAGUGCCUAGGCUGACCUACCAACUGCACCUGAAAACCAAAGCUCACAGGCUUUCUCUCCUGGGGGAUGCGGCUGCUGUUCCCUU